rnacentral:rRNA from 1 species
UACAGAGGUGGCAAGCGUUGUUCGGAAUUACUGGGCGUAAAGGGCGCGUAGGCGGCCUUCUAAGUCAGACGUGAAAUCCCCCGGCUUAACCUGGGAACUGCGUCUGAUACUGGAGGGCUUGAGUGCAGAAGGGGCAACUGGAAUUCUCGGUGUAGCGGUGAAAUGCGUAGAUAUCGAGAGGAACACCUGCGGCGAAGGCGGGUUGCUGGGCUGACACUGACGCUGAUGUGCGAAAGCUAGGGGAGCGAACGGG